CAGUACGUACAUGAUUCUGGUUUCUACAGCCCUGCAGAGGGCAUGCAGGUCCAAUUUACCAAAUUACACUCACACCAGGGAAGGAAGAUCAGAGCUGGAGCAGGCAAGAAGGAAUGCAUGACACAUCCAUGCUGCUUUGCUCUCUGCAGCUGUGCUUUAUAGAACUCCUUGCAGGAGAGUCAGAAACCUGCCCUUAAAGAGCAGCCAGCGCUGUCAGUGCUUGCCGAGGCUCUGAGCUUGUGGCUUUGCAGAGGCAGCCCAUAUGGCAAUCUCAUGCAACGCCUGCUGAAAUGACGCUGUGUUCCAUACUUAGUAACUUAGUUAAGAUUUCACAGGGGCUGGAGAUCAGGGCUGACUCUUCCUCUGCAUUUUUUAUGUAGACUUUUCCCUCCAGGCUUCAGUUGGGCGCAGCAAGCAUCACGCCACUUGGCUCUGCAGCCCAGCAGCUUGUCCAGCCUGCAGCAGGAGCCAAGGAACACCCAGGACACAGUCACAAACUCCAUCCCACAAGGGUAAAAAGUCUGAUAGCCUCCUGCCUAAUAACUGAUUUUAUAUUUUUCAAACUGCAAAACUGCAGGAGCCUCUCAUUUUUCUCACAGCCUCACAGAAAAAAUGUGCUUCAACUGAUUCUUUGCAGCUUGCAUAGAGCAUGAUACCAUGUCCAGAAUUACAUUGUAGUGCAUGAAAUGCAGGCUUUACCUAUCCCCAGAAGAGCCUAGUUCUUCUACAUCCUUGGAAACAGCAGAAUUCUCCCAAUCUGAGUUACAUAAAAGCUGUUUGAAUCUGAAGCUGGCACAGCUGAUGGGAUUUCUGUCUCAGUUAUUUUUCUUCUGAAUUAAGGGCAGCAAAGUAGACUUCACACGCAGUGUACGUGACCCUCAGUCUCCAAUCCCUCAGCCAAUUUUGUGCUUCAUGGUAAACAGGAGUCCGAUAUUCCCCCACAUAACCAAGCAACCUCUUACAGUUCACUGCUCGCAAAGCCCCGUCUCACAAGCUUGUUUCUGCUGUUAUCACAAUAUUUAUAACUACCUUUCUCUUCACCCUGCCUUUAGAGAGACCCAGGUGCAUGCCCUUCUCUUUCAAAAGGAAAAGGAGAAACCAUCACUGCUGACGACUUCUUCACACACCUUUGUGGAGAACUAGAUGCACCUUUGCAGCACGCUUACAAAAAUAAAUCCAGAGCUGCAGUGUUGGGGAAUGAAGAAAGAAUGAUGAUAAAAUCUUUCAAAUAGCUUUUGCCCUGGCAGAAAGCCCAGAAAUAGCUGCAAGGACAGGCUGUCCUUUGGGAGAUGAAGGCUCUUCCAGUGCUACCAGGCUGGACUAUAGAAAGAAAAUGUGGCUUAUUCUGAUGCAAACAGUUUCACACAGUGGUAGUCCAUUCAUAGCCUUUUUUGGGGGGUGGGAAAUCUAUACAUUUUUGGCCAGAAGAAUACCAGUUUUCUUUAUCUUCCCAUAGACUUAGGCCUUCAGAAAAAAAACCCAAACUAAAAAAACAAAAAAACCCCAAAAAACCCAAACAGGAUCUGAAUUGUCCUUCCUAUAGGCAUCAUUUUCAUCUUAUGCAUACUAAUUUUUUCUCAGUAUGGUCCAAGUAGCCUCUGGGACUAUCCUUCUUUCCUCUGUCCUGCUGUUCUCACAGCCUUGCCAUGCAGUGCUGCACAUAAAUUCUUGUUACAUUUCAUUUCCAGUGCAAAGGCCAUCUUGGGGUCUUACCAUGAACAUCCCUUGCUAGGCCAGAAGUGCUCACCUUUGCUGACUUUCCCAUUGAAAGCUUCAGGCCCUGUGAAUUAACAGAGGAAUUCAGUCCCCUGACCUAGACAAUACUACUUUGGCUGCUCAGAUAUCCCAGCCUUCCCCUCUCUGACACACACAUAGUUCUGGUAGUAGCUGUUGCUUUCUGAGGAUGCUCAGCUGGUGUCGCAGAGCUGGGAAGGGAGCCAGCAGCCUGAUGAGCUCAGCGAGCACGCGGCGUUGGCCCGGCAGCAGUGGGACACGUCCCUGCGCUGCUGCUUGCAGAUG